AAGAUCGAAUGGGGAGAUUCAUCGUCAGCGAUGUUGGCUUAACGUUGGCUCGUGAUGUCCGGUACUUCGGUACCGGUGGUACGCGGUUAGCGUUUACGUCUGACGUCGUCGGCGUGCACUUCUCCUCUAGUAGAACGUCGCGACCCGUUGGGUGUCGAUCUACGGUCCGGGUGGGUGUCUGUCGUGUCGCUUAACGGCGCGCGGCAAACCCCCGGUGACCCAGUAUCGGCUGCUCGGCGGUACUCGCAUGGUAUCGGGCCGCAAUUUUGAACUGCGUCGGGCCCGUCGCAAGCGCGGUCGUUUUGUCGCGGUGGUACGGACCUAGCGCCGUCCCCGUGCCCGGCCUGCUGUUGGCAGACGGUGUUCUCAGACUGGCCAAAAAUCUAAUAUUGAAAGUGUGAUACCGGUCGGCGACGCUACUGCUUUGGGUAAUCUCAGGACCCGUCUUGAAACACGGACCAAGGAGUCUAACAUGUGCGCGAGUCAUUGGGACCGCAUGCCUAAAGGCGAAAUGAAAGUGAAGCUCGGCUUUUCUACGCCGAUUGAGGGAGGAUGGGUCGUUGAAUUUUACGGCUUCGCACUCCCGGGGCGUCUCGUUCUCAUUCGAGAAGAGGCGCACCCAGAGCGUACACGUUGGGACCCGAAAGAUGGUGAACUAUGCCUGGUCAGGACGAAGUCAGGGGAAACCCUGAUGGAGGUCCGUAGCGAUUCUGACGUGCAAAUCGAUCGUCGGAA
rnacentral:rRNA from 1 species